GAAAUGCGAUAAGUAAUGUGAAUUGCAGAAUUCAGUGAAUCAUCGAAUCUUUGAACGCACAUUGCGCCCGCCAGUAUUCUGGCGGGCAUGCCUGUUCGAGCGUCAUUACAACCCUCAGGCCCCCGGGCCUGGCGUUGGGGAUCGGCGGAAGCCCCCUGCGGGCACAACGCCGUCCCCCAAAUACAGUGGCGGUCCCGCCGCAGCUUCCAUUGCGUAGUAGCUAACACCUCGCAACUGGAGAGCGGCGCGGCCACGCCGUAAAACACCCAACUUCUGAAUGUUGACCUCGAAUCAGGUAGGAUUACCCGCUGAACUUAAGC
rnacentral:misc_RNA from 1 species